rnacentral:rRNA from 1 species
GACGAACGCGGCGGCGUGCUUAACACAUGCAAGUCGAACGGAAAGAGAUGAAAGAGCUUGCUCUUUUAUUAAUUUCAGUGGCAAACGGGUGAGUAACACGUAAACAACCUGCCUUAAGGAUGGGGAUAACAGACGGAAACGACUGCUAAUACCGAAUACGUUCUAAGCAUCGCAUGAUGCAUAGAAGAAAGGGUGGCCUCUACAAGAAAGCUAUCGCCUUAAGAGGGGUUUGCGACUGAUUAGGUAGUUGGUGAGGUAACGGCUCACCAAGCCGACGAUCAGUAGCCGGUCUGAGAGGAUGAACGGCCACACUGGAACUGAGACACGGUCCAGACUCCUACGGGAGGCAGCAGUGGGGAAUCUUCCGCAAUGGACGAAAGUCUGACGGAGCAACGCCGCGUGAACGAAGAAGGUCUUCGGAUUGUAAAGUUCUGUGAUUCGGGACGAAAGGGUUUGUGGUGAAUAAUCAUAGACAUUGACGGUACCGAAAAAGCAAGCCACGC